GGUGGCUUAGUGGUAGAGCACUUGCCUUGCAUGCAUGAGGCUGUGGGUUUGAUUCCUCAGCACCA
rnacentral:tRNA from 1 species